GGUUCCAUAGCUCAGUUGGUUAGAGCGUACGGCUAAUAACCGUAAGGUCGGUGGUUCAAUCCCACCUGGGUACUA